GUGAGGGGAGCUGCAAUGCUCCUGCUAGUCUGGCAGGCGGCCUGCUUUACUUCAAAGACUCCAUUGCUGUCAUCUUAGUGUUAACCCCUGAUAACCUUGUCCUUUCGCAGACAGACCUGAAUUUUUAGUGACAUAAUCACACAGCCACAUCUAAUUGGCUACACAACUGUCAUCCCGUUCACUAUGGGAUCCCUGAUUGGAUCAAUCGCCCUUGAUUAUCUAGGAAAGAGGAAGCAGCAGCUGCCAGUGGAAACAAUGGUCUUGGUCAAGAUUUCAGAAGAAUCAAGUCACUGGCUCCAGACUCCGAAUCUUCCUCCCACCCUGAACUGAGCCUCAUUCAUUAGCUGGAACCGCUGCAGCUUGGGAAAAGCCAGGAAGAAAAACAGCAAACAGAGCAAGUGAAAGAGAGACUCAGAUUGGUUAUUUUCGAGGGGGAAACACUUGGGCAGCAUGUCUCUCUCCCUCUCCCGUGUAUUUCUCUCAUCAUUCCAUACUGGCCACCCUCCCACAUCCUCUCGGCAACGCUAUAUCCACACCUCUGCCAUUCAUCAGGGAGAGUACUUUCAGCCACAUGAAGCAGAACGAAAUAGUGAGCCCUUUCUCACGAUCAUGUGAGUGGGCUUGGCAAUGGGGAAAGCUAGAGAAGCUCGCCUUCCCCACAAACGGUUCUGGUGCCAGGUAUGGACGCAUGGAUCGCACGGCCAGAUGUUCCGCUGCUGCCCCAGGCAGUGCAAAGACGGAUCCUCCCGGCCCCAGGAGAUCCCACCAUGUAUCACGCAAGGCAGGGUUUCUUAA